rnacentral:tRNA from 1 species
GGGGGUAGAGCUCAGUGGUAGAGGGUAUGCUUAGCAUGCAGAGGUCCUGGGUUCAAUCCCCCGUACCUUCA